rnacentral:rRNA from 1 species
CCUACGGGAGGCAGCAGUGGGGAAUAUUGGGCAAUGGGCGCAAGCCUGACCCAGCAACGCCGCGUGAAGGAAGAAGGCUUUCGGGUUGUAAACUUCUUUUAAGGGGGAAGAGCAGAAGACGGUACCCCUUGAAUAAGCCACGGCUAACUACGUGCCAGCAGCCGCGGUAAUACGUAGGUGGCAAGCGUUGUCCGGAUUUACUGGGUGUAAAGGGCGUGCAGCCGGAGAGACAAGUCAGAUGUGAAAUCCACGGGCUCAACCCGUGAACUGCAUUUGAAACUGUUUCCCUUGAGUGUCGGAGAGGCAAUCGGAAUUCCUUGUGUAGCGGUGAAAUGCGUAGAUAUAAGGAAGAACACCAGUGGCGAAGGCGGAUUACUGGACGAUAACUGACGGUGAGGCGCGAAAGCGUGGGGAGCAAACAGGAUUAGAUACCCCUGUAGUC